ACAUGCAGUCGAGCGGACAGAUGGGAGCUUGCUCCCUGAUGUUAGCGGCGGACGGGUGAGUAACACGUGGGUAACCUGCCUGUAAGACUGGGAUAACUCCGGGAAACCGGGGCUAAUACCGGAUGCUUGUUUGAACCGCAUGGUUCAAACAUAAAAGGUGGCUUCGGCUACCACUUACAGAUGGACCCGCGGCGCAUUAGCUAGUUGGUGAGGUAAUGGCUCACCAAGGCAACGAUGCGUAGCCGACCUGAGAGGGUGAUCGGCCACACUGGGACUGAGACACGGCCCAGACUCCUACGGGAGGCAGCAGUAGGGAAUCUUCCGCAAUGGACGAAAGUCUGACGGAGCAACGCCGCGUGAGUGAUGAAGGUUUUCGGAUCGUAAAGCUCUGUUGUUAGGGAAGAACAAGUGCCGUUCAAAUAGGGCGGCACCUUGACGGUACCUAACCAGAAAGCCACGGCUAACUACGUGCCAGCAGCCGCGGUAAUACGUAGGUGGCAAGCGUUGUCCGGAAUUAUUGGGCGUAAAGGGCUCGCAGGCGGUUUCUUAAGUCUGAUGUGAAAGCCCCCGGCUCAACCGGGGAGGGUCAUUGGAAACUGGGGAACUUGAGUGCAGAAGAGGAGAGUGGAAUUCCACGUGUAGCGGUGAAAUGCGUAGAGAUGUGGAGGAACACCAGUGGCGAAGGCGACUCUCUGGUCUGUAACUGACGCUGAGGAGCGAAAGCGUGGGGAGCGAACAGGAUUAGAUACCCUGGUAGUCCACGCCGUAAACGAUGAGUGCUAAGUGUUAGGGGGUUUCCGCCCCUUAGUGCUGCAGCUAACGCAUUAAGCACUCCGCCUGGGGAGUACGGUCGCAAGACUGAAACUCAAAGGAAUUGACGGGGGCCCGCACAAGCGGUGGAGCAUGUGGUUUAAUUUGAAGCAACGCGAAGAACCUUACCAGGUCUUGACAUCCUUUGACAAUCCUAGAGAUAGGACGUUCCCUUCGGGGGCAGAGUGACAGGUGGUGCAUGGUUGUUGUCAGCUCGUGUCGUGAGAUGUUGGGUUAAGUCCCGCAACGAGCGCAACCCUUGAUUUUAGUUGCCAGCAUUCAGUUGGGCCCUUUAAGGUGACUGCCGGUGACAAACCGGAGGAAGGUGGGGAUGACGUCAAAUCAUCAUGCCCCUUAUGACCUGGGCUACCCACGUGCUACAAUGGACAGAACAAAGGGCAGCGAAACCGCGAGGUUAAGCCAAUUCCCCAAAUUUGUUUUCAGUUCGGAUCGCAGUUUGCAACUUGACUGCGUGAAGCUGGAAUCGCUAGUAAUCGCGGAUCAGCAUGCCGCGGUGAAUACGUUCCCGGGCCUUGUACACCCCGCCCGUCACCCCCCGAGAGUUUGUAACCCCCGAAGUCGGUGAGGUAACCUUUAGAGCCAGCCGCCGAAGU
rnacentral:rRNA from 1 species